rnacentral:rRNA from 1 species
CAAGCGGUGGAGCAUGUGGUUUAAUUCGACGCAACGCGAAGAACCUUACCUGGGCUCGAACGGCUUUGGACGGUCUUUGGAAACAGAGGCUUCCCCCCAGGGAACUGAAUUCAAGGGGCUGCAGGGUUGUCUUCAGCUCGGGUCGGGAAAUGUUGGGUUAAUUCCCGCAACAAGCGCACCCUUUGUCCUGUGUUGCAACUAAAAGGGACUCUCUCGAAACAGACCGCCAUAAACUGGAGGAAGGAGGGGAUGAAUUAAAGUCAUCCUGGCCUUUAUUUCCGGGGCUACACACGUGCUACAAUGGGCGGUACAUACCGCUGCAAACCCGCGAGGGGGAGCAAAUCGGAAAAAACCGUUCUCUCUUCGGAUUGAACGCUGCAACUCGCCUGCAUGAAUCUGGAAUCGCUAGUAUGGCAUAUCUAAACGAUGCCGUGAAUGCAUUCCCGGGCCUUGCACACACC